GGUGGAGUUUGUUAAUUUAUUGAUGUAGAACAGUUUGGAUUCGUAUCUUUUGAAGGAGUUUUAGUAAGCUCCAUUUUGGUGUAGCUGAAAUUAGGGUAGAUUAGAACCUUGUUUAGAAGAAAUAGGGAUGUCAUUGUAACUGUGUGGUUAGAAGAAUUUAAAAGGAAGAGAAGAAGAAGAUCAAAGCGUUCACAGAUAACAGAAAGAGAGAAAAGUUUAGGCUACAGCCCUCAAACUAAAUCAAAAUACUUUGAUGUGCAACUUUCUAACAAACAUUUGGAUGUAAGUGAUGAUUGGUUUACUAGAAGUAAUGAAAAAACUAAGAAAACAACAGCACGGAAAGAGGAGAUGGAGAAGGAGAAUAUUUAAAUUGGAAGUGACAGGUACUUGAAUUUAUAUUCCACUCUAGAACAUGAAGCCUUUUUCUGUUCAAGAACAUUAGUAAGCCAAUCUACUCAAAUAAAGAGGGGUGGAAUAUCUCUCUGCUUGUGAAGAAAAUGUGUAGCACAUACUAUAGUUGUACAGGCACUCAAAAUAUGUUGGCAGUCCAGACCAGUCAGUUAGUGUUUUUUAUCUCUCCAUGUUGAUCCACCCAUUUCCAAAUUUUAUUGGAUGGAUGGUGGUAAUGUUUCCUAGGACAUAUUCUUUUUAAAAAAUCAAGAGGGGUAUACUCAGCUCCUCGUGGUAUUCGUGUAUUUUACUCUCUUAGAUUCUCCUUGAGGUUUGACAGUGUACAUGGACUCUAGAGGGAUCCUGUUCUUUUUUCUUCUUGUAAAUCUUUCUCUUCUCUUCUUACUUUAGCUCUCAAAUCAAUCUUCUUUCUUGUAAAUCUUUCUCUUCUCAUCUUACUUUGGCUCUGAAAUCAACUUCUUUCUUUUAUCUCAAUUAUAGUUGGAAAACCAGGUGUUCUCUGUAGUAAAUCGUUUUACUUGUAUGUUAGUACUUCAUGAUAUUGACACUAACAAGUUGUCAUUGGUUAGGAUAAGGAGCUUCUUGAAGCCCUCUAUUCCGGUUGUUGUCUGGUUGUGAUGAACCACUCCCAGCUGAGUGGAAGAUAUAUUUUUUUUUUUUGCACUUGGUGGAUUUUGGGAGGACAGAUUGCAAGAGUUUGUGGAGAUGUGCCUUUUUGUAGUUGUCUGGAAUAUGGUGUUUAUGGAUGGAGAAACAUCUAGAAUUUUCAGUAAUCUUAUCCUUCUGAGGUAUUGGGUUGAUGGAUAGGAUUGUAUCUUUUAUCUUUGUGCCGUGUUACUUGUUAUUACUUGAUUGCAGCAUAUGCUAGAUUGAUAGAGGGAAUGCCCUCUUGGAGGAAUAUUUUAGUUAUCACCCUGCCAUAGAAAGAGACCAGUUCUUCCAAUCUUGUUUGGUUGCUCAGAUUAUGGCUAUUAGUAUUAUUGAAGAUGGUUACAUUUUAAAGCUCUGGAAACCCAUCUUUAUAUGUCUUGUCAUUGCUUUCUUUCUCCAAGUCAUGUAAGGCCUGUUCAAGCUCUGCAGGUGUAGUUUUGGAUGUUACUUGGGUCUCUUCCCUGCUGUGUGAUAUGACUCAAAAGUGUUUGCCAUGUCUUUUUGCUUGUGAUAGUGACCUCAAACUGUCUUUGGUGGAUUUUUUUCAAACUGGUGUGUUCUCAUUUUCAUUUCAUUUGGGAAGUUUCUUUAGCAAAA